UCCAUCAUUGUGUACAGAAAGAUUUGGUC
rnacentral:piRNA from 1 species